rnacentral:rRNA from 1 species
GAUGAACGCUGGCGGCGUGCUUAACACAUGCAAGUCGAACGAAGCAUUUAGAACGGAUUACUUCGGUUUGAAGUUCUUUAUGACUGAGUGGCGGACGGGUGAGUAACGCGUGGGUAACCUGCCUUGUACUGGGGGAUAGCAGCUGGAAACGGCUGGUAAUACCGCAUAAGCGCACAAUGUUGCAUGACAUGGUGUGAAAAACUCCGGUGGAAUAAGAUGGACCCGCGUCUGAUUAGCUAGUUGGUGAGAUAACAGCCCACGAAGGCGACGAUCAAUAGCCGACCUGAGAGGGUGACCGGCCACAUUGGGACUGAGACACGGCCCAGACUCCUACGGGAGGCAGCAGUGGGGAAUAUUGCAUAAUGGAGGAAACUCUGAUGCAGCGACGCCGCGUGAGUGAAGAAGUAAUUCGUUAUGUAAAGCUCUAUCAGCAGGGAAGAUAGUGACGGUACCUGACUAAGAAGCUCCGGCUAAAUACGUGCCAGCCGCCGCGGUAAAAC